rnacentral:tRNA from 1 species
AGGCUGAUAGCUUAUUAGGUAAAGCAUGUUGCUCAUAACAACAAAGUAGUUGGUUCAACUCCAACUCAGUCUAU